GACGAACGCUGGCGGCGUGCCUAAUACAUGCAAGUUGAGCGAUGAAGAUUGGUGCUUGCACCAAUUUGAAGAGCAGCGAACGGGUGAGUAACGCGUGGGGAAUCUGCCUUUGAGCGGGGGACAACAUUUGGAAACGAAUGCUAAUACCGCAUAACAACUUUAAACAUAAGUUUUAAGUUUGAAAGAUGCAAUUGCAUCACUCAAAGAUGAUCCCGCGUUGUAUUAGCUAGUUGGUGAGGUAAAGGCUCACCAAGGCGAUGAUACAUAGCCGACCUGAGAGGGGGAUCGGCCACAUUGGGACUGAGACACGGCCCAAACCCCUACGGGAGGCAGCAGUAGGGAAUCUUCGGCAAUGGACGAAAGUCUGACCGAGCAACGCCGCGUGAGUGAAGAAGGGUUUCGGAUCGGAAAAAUCUGUUGGUAGAGAAGAACGUUGGUGAGAGUGGAAAGCUCAUCAAGUGACGGUAACUACCCAGAAAGGGACGGCUAACUACGUG
rnacentral:rRNA from 1 species